UCCAUCUUUUCUGGUCAUGUGAUUCUUAAAUAACCGACCCAUCCUAUUUUUGCCUUUUCUUGAUUAUUUCCCCUUGGGAAGAAAAAUGGCUCUUCAUCUGAACAAACUUGAAUCCCCUUCACUCAAGGAUAUGUUGUGCCAAAUUUGGUUGAAAUUGACUGCGUGUUUAGAACUGCAGAAGAUGAUAAAAUCGUGUAAAGACGCGGACGACAGACAACGGACCUACAAAAUGGGCUCACACUUGUGUAGUAGACUCGCAUCUACAUCACGGUACUUAUGGCUCAGAAAUUGGAAGACCAGGGUUAAAUGCGUUUUCCAUUGAAAAUAAAUUACGCAGUAUAUCUGUAUGAUACAGUUUUGCUGUCAUCACCAUGCUGUUUGCAUAGAAAGAGGAGACAGACCGACUUACAAGAGAAGUGUGUCGAACAACAAUUCUAAAGAACGAGGCCCCCUGACAGCCAUGAGUGCUCCGAAAAACAUCAAGCACUUGUUACAUUUAAUGAAAGACGCAAGAGAAUUUCGGCGAGUGUGGAAUAAAUGGUUGGGACGGUUUGCCGUGAGAUAAAGUGCCAGAGGUACAUUCAAGCUUCUAUAGCGAUACUUCCUGCCCAGAGAAUCCUGAUGUCAGCUUACGAAUGAACAACAGACUGAAUCUGCAUUCACAAACCUGUGCCAAAGAUAUUUUGUUUUUCUCCAGUUAGCUUUUUCAAGGACAAAAGGUGUUCUCCGAAAGAAAAUGGUUGCAAACCUGUUUGAGUUCAUGGUCACUUUGGCUUACCAAAGACAUAUUUAUUUAUUAUUGUGGUUUUUUUAAGAUGUGGACUAUUUCAAUAUGAAACAAUGUUCUCCAGAAAAAAAUGUCGAGCUGGCUCGAAUAUUUUUGGGGUUUUUUAUUUCCUAGCUGUAGAACAGCGAUUUUUCAGUGUACGAAAUUAUUACUUUUAUACGUUGUAUUUGUUGAAAUAAUAAAUGAUGUGAUG